UCUCUCCCCCUCUUCCUCCGAUGCGUGGCUCCUGAUGUGAUUUGAUUGUUUUGGAUCUCCAGAUACGGUGACACUGUUUGAGUCGCUGGUCGCCGCACUGCUAACUGAGAUGUGUGGGAGGAUUGUCGAGGAGAUUUGCAAGUUUGAUUAGAAGUGAGUAGAUUCUUCUCCCGCAGCCGUCGCCGCCGUCCCACGCAUCCCACAACUGCCACCAACUGCCACACAUCGCCUAGACCCACACGCCUCCCUUGCAAUCUCCCACAGCCUCUGCUCCAUCUCCACCUUCGCGCCCACCUGCUAGCCCUAGCGUCGCCUACUCCCUGCCUUCGCUCCUCCUCGAUCUAGGCGGCGCGGACGUGGCGCGGACGUGGGGAAGGACGACCCCGUGGACGUGUUGUGGCGGUGGAGGAGCCAUAGCCAACCCGGGAUCAUGCGCAGACCUGAGCGUUCAACGACGGUGGGGACACGCCGCUGCAGGUGGCGCCUGCCAUCUACGACGAGGCCAUGUUUCUUUAAUAGCUCCAUUGUCAUGGGCUACUACAAGAACCACGUCAAGACAAGCCUAAGGAUGUGACGAGGUGUUGUUGUUAUGGAUUCACAACUUUCUUUAUGACUCGAAGAUCUUUGGGAAUCAUUCAAGGAAUGGAGUGCUUAUGGGCCCGGUGUUCCACUGGUGCUGAAUGGCAGUGACUCUGUGAUCCAACUAUUUGCAAACACAUCGAGACCCACUUCAAGAAAUAAGUGCGUCCUAUUCUUUGUCACAAAUAAUCAUGGUGUCAAGAAAGUUUCCAUUGCACUUAACCUUAAGAAGGCCAACCUUUGUACCAAAAUGGGUUCCAUUUGUUUGUUUUUGUUAUGCUUCGGUUAGUUUGACCUUUGAUAUUUUCAUAUAUCAACAAAUAACUAAGUUUAAUAC